rnacentral:rRNA from 1 species
GACGUAGGGCGCGAGCGUUGUCCGGAUUUAUUGGGCGUAAAGAGCUCGUAGGCGGCUUGUUGCGUCGACCGUGAAAACCCGGGGCUCAACUUCGGGCUUGCGGUCGAUACGGGCGGGCUAGAGCUCGGUAGGGGAGACUGGAAUUCCCGGUGUAGCGGUGAAAUGCGCAGAUAUCAGGAGGAACACCGGUGGCGAAGGCGGGUCUCUGGGCCGAUACUGACGCUGAGGAGCGAAAGCGUGGGGAGCGAACAGG